rnacentral:rRNA from 1 species
AGUAUUUUUAGAGCUUGCUUUGAAAAUACUUAGUGGCGAACGGGUGAGUAACACGUGAGUUACCUGCCCCGAAGCGGGGGAUAGCCCGAAGAAAUUCGGAUUAAUACCCCAUGUGAUCGAAAGAUUAAAGGCGGCGUAAGCUGUCGCUUCGGGAUGGGCUCGCGGCCUAUCAGCUUGUUGGUGAGGUAAUGGCUCACCAAGGCGAUGACGGGUAGCUGAUCUGAGAGGAUGAUCAGUCACACUGGAACUGAGACACGGUCCAGACACC